rnacentral:lncRNA from 1 species
GCGAAGUCCGGCUCCCGUAGGAGUCCGGACGAGGUCUACCUGCAAGUGAAGUCGUGGGCGGAGUCCAGCUCCCGUAGGAGUCCGGAUGAAGUCUGCCUGCAGCCGAAGUCGGAGAUGAUGUCUGGCUCCCGUAGGAGUCCGGAUGAGGCCUACCUGCAAGUGAAGUCAUGGGCAGAGUCUGGCUCCCAUAGGAGUCUGGACGAAGUCUGCCUGCAGCCGG